rnacentral:rRNA from 1 species
GAUGAACGCUAGCGGCAGGCUUAACACAUGCAAGUCGAGGGGUAUAUGUCUUCGGAUAUAGAGACCGGCGCACGGGUGCGUAACGCGUAUGCAAUCUACCUUUUACAGGGGAAUAGCCCAGAGAAAUUUGGAUUAAUGCCCCAUAGUAUUAUGAAAUGGCAUCAUUUUAUAAUUAAAGUCACAACGGUAAAAGAUGAGCAUGCGUCCCAUUAGUUAGUUGGUAAGGUAACGGCUUACCAAGACAAUGAUGGGUAGGGGUCCUGAGAGGGAGAUCCCCCACACUGGUACUGAGACACGGACCAGACUCCUACGGGAGGCAGCAGUGAGGAAUAUUGGACAAUGGGCGCAAGCCUGAUCCAGCCAUGCCGCGUGCAGGAAGACGGUCCUAUGGAUUGUAAACUGCUUUUAUACAGGAAGAAACACUCCGACGUGUCGGAGCUUGACGGUACUGUAGGAAUAAGGAUCGGCUAACUCCGUGCCAGCCGCCGCAGUAACAC